UGCUAUUGAAAAUAAAAAUCCUUAAAAAACGGUUUGAUCUUUCAAUUCCAGAAUGUCAUGCCAAGGACAGCAAGUUAUAUCUACACCAGCUGCAGAUUUUCACUAACAUCCCAGGAUCUAGGACUACCAGUGGAUUUUGAGAUUUGCAUAUACUCCAUGCCACUAGUCCAUAGAGCAAGAAACAUUUACCUGCACUGAACUACACUAAAAAAAUAAGGAUGAUACUGUAACAACGAAUCUUUAACAAAAAUGUGGUCGAUUGAACCAGUGAAGGGAAAGCAAAAGCUAUAGCAUUUUAACCGUUUAAUGGAAAUCGUUGUCAAGUAAAUGCUUAAUGACAGAAUGUUAUGCAACAGCCAGCAGUGUUAGAAAUCAAUGAACCAAGAAGGAUCAGAACGAAGUCAGCCUGAUUGACCUCACCGUCAAAACAGGAGUUAGUAGUAGUAGUUUCGAAAGAAUAAGAAAAUAGAAAGGGAGAGUAAAAUACAAAGUAAACUGUAUUGUACGAGCUUUGUGCCUUGGUUUAUGAAGAUAAAUCAAUGUACUUUAAUUUACUACUGUAUUAAUGCAAUGAUGUGCCAAAUUUGAAGAUGUACUGUCUCUGGUUAUAAAUAAAACAAAACUGAGGAAAAAUCCAA